rnacentral:rRNA from 1 species
UACAGAGGGGGCAAGCGUUGUUCGGAAUUACUGGGCGUAAAGGGCGCGUAGGCGGCCUGUUAAGUCGAACGUGAAAUCCCCGGGCUCAACCCGGGAACUGCGUCCGAUACUGGCAGGCUUGAAUUCGGGAGAGGGAUGCGGAAUUCCAGGUGUAGCGGUGAAAUGCGUAGAUAUCGGGAGGAACAUCAGUGGCGAAGGCGGCCCUCUGGUCCAGUACUGACACUCAAGUGCGAAAGCGUGGGGAGCAAACAGG